UACAGAGGGGGCAAGCGUUGUUCGGAAUUACUGGGCGUAAAGGGCGCGUAGGCGGCCCGCUAAGUCGAACGUGAAAUCCCCGAGCUCAACUCGGGAACUGCGUCCGAUACUGGCGGGCUUGAAUCCGGGAGAGGGAUGCGGAAUUCCAGGUGUAGCGGUGAAAUGCGUAGAUAUCUGGAGGAACACCGGUGGCGAAGGCGGCCAUCUGGACCGCAACUGACGCUGAGGCGCGAAAAGCGUGGGGGAGCAAACAGGG
rnacentral:rRNA from 1 species